AGAGUUUGAUCCUGGCUCAGAUUGAACGCUGGCGGAAUGCUUUACACAUGCAAGUCGAACGGCAGCACGGACUUCGGUCUGGUGGCGAGUGGCGAACGGGUGAGUAAUAUAUCGGAACGUGUCCAAUAAUGGGGGAUAACUAGUCGAAAGACUAGCUAAUACCGCAUACGCCCUACGGGGGAAAGCAGGGGAUCUUCGGACCUUGCGUUAAUGGAGCGGCCGAUAUCUGAUUAGCUAGUAGGUGAGGUAAAGGCUCACCUAGGCGACGAUCAGUAGCUGGUCUGAGAGGACGACCAGCCACACUGGAACUGAGACACGGUCCAGACUCCUACGGGAGGCAGCAGUGGGGAAUUUUGGACAAUGGGCGCAAGCCUGAUCCAGCCAUUCCGCGUGAGUGAAGAAGGCCUUCGGGUUGUAAAGCUCUUUCGCAAGGAAAGAAAACUUACCUUCAAAUAAGGGUGAGGUUGACGGUACCUUGAUAAGAAGCACCGGCUAACUACGUGCCAGCAGCCGCGGUAAUACGUAGGGUGCGAGCGUUAAUCGGAAUUACUGGGCGUAAAGCGUGCGCAGGCGGUUUUGUAAGUCAGAUGUGAAAUCCCCGGGCUCAACCUGGGAACUGCGUUUGAAACUACAAGGCUAGAGUGUAGCAGAGGGGGGUAGAAUUCCACGUGUAGCAGUGAAAUGCGUAGAGAUGUGGAGGAAUACCAAUGGCGAAGGCAGCCCCCUGGGUUAACACUGACGCUCAUGCACGAAAGCGUGGGGAGCAAACAGGAUUAGAUACCCUGGUAGUCCACGCCCUAAACGAUGUCUACUAGUUGUUGGGAGAGUAAAAUCUCUUAGUAACGCAGCUAACGCGUGAAGUAGACCGCCUGGGGAGUACGGUCGCAAGAUUAAAACUCAAAGGAAUUGACGGGGGCCCGCACAAGCGGUGGAUUAUGUGGAUUAAUUCGAUGCAACGCGAAAAACCUUACCUGGCCUUGACAUGCUACUAACGACGCAGAGAUGCAUUAGGUGCCCGAAAGGGAAAGUAGACACAGGUGCUGCAUGGCUGUCGUCAGCUCGUGUCGUGAGAUGUUGGGUUAAGUCCCGCAACGAGCGCAACCCUUGCCAUUAAUUGCCAUCAUUUAGUUGGGCACUUUAAUGGGACUGCCGGUGACAAACCGGAGGAAGGUGGGGAUGACGUCAAGUCCUCAUGGCCCUUAUGGCCAGGGCUUCACACGUAAUACAAUGGUCGGUACAGAGGGUUGCCAACCCGCGAGGGGGAGCCAAUCCCAGAAAGCCGAUCGUAGUCCGGAUUGCAGUCUGCAACUCGACUGCAUGAAGUCGGAAUCGCUAGUAAUCGCGGAUCAGCAUGUCGCGGUGAAUACGUUCCCGGGCCUUGUACACACCGCCCGUCACACCAUGGGAGUGGGUUCCACCAGAAGUAGUUAGUCUAACCGCAAGGAGGACGAUUACCACGGUGGGAUUCAUGACUGGGGUGAAGUCGUAACAAGGUA
rnacentral:rRNA from 1 species